rnacentral:rRNA from 1 species
GCAUAUCAAUAAGCGGAGGAAAAGAAACUAACAAGGAUUCCCCUAGUAACUGCGAGUGAAGCGGGAAAAGCUCAAAUUUAAAAUCUGGCUGUCUUCGGCAGUCCGAGUUGUAAUCUAGAGAAGUGUUAUCCGCGUUGGACCGUGUACAAGUCUCCUGGAAUGGAGCAUCAUAGAGGGUGAGAAUCCCGUCUUUGACACGGACUACCAGUGCUUUGUGAUGCGCUCUCAAAGAGUCGAGUUGUUUGGGAAUGCAGCUCAAAAUGGGUGGUAAAUUCCAUCUAAAGCUAAAUAUUGGCGAGAGACCGAUAGCGAACAAGUACCGUGAGGGAAAGAUGAAAAGAACUUUGGAAAGAGAGUUAAACAGUACGUGAAAUUGCUGAAAGGGAAACGCUUGAAGUCAGUCACGUUGGCUAGAAAUCAACCUUGCUUUUGCUGGGCGUACUUUCUGGUUAACGGGUCAGCAUCAAUUUUGACCGUUGGAAAAAGUUCAGAGGAAUGUGGCAUCUUCGGAUGUGUUAUAGCCUCUGUUCGCAUACAAUGGUUGGGAUUGAGGAUCUCAGCACGCCGCAAGGCCGGGUUUCGACCACGUUCGUGCUUAGGAUGCUGGCAUAAUGGCUUUAAUCGACCCGUCUUGAAACACGGACCAAGGAGUCUAACAUGCCUGCGAGUGUUUGGGUGGAAAACCCAAGCGCGCAAUGAAAGUGAAAGUUGAGAUCCCUGUCAUGGGGAGCAUCGACGCCCGGACCAGACCUUUUGUGACGGAUCCGCGGUAGAGCAUGUAUGUUGGGACCCGAAAGAUGGUGAACUAUGCCUGAAUAGGGUGAAGCCAGAGGAAACUCUGGUGGAGGCUCGUAGCGAUUCUGACGUGCAAAUCGAUCGUCAAAUUUGGGUAUAGGGGCGAAAGACUAAUCGAACCAUCUAGUAGCUGGGUUCCUGCCGAAG